GAAAUGCGAUAAGUAAUGUGAAUUGCAGAAUUCAGUGAAUCAUCGAAUCUUUGAACGCACCUUGCGCUCCUUGGUAUUCCGAGGAGCAUGCCUGUUUGAGUGUCAUUAAAUUCUCAACCUCACCAGUUUUCUGAACUGUUCUCCGAGGCUUGGAUGUGGGGGUUUGUGCAGGCUGCCUCAGCGCGGUCUGCUCCCCUGAAAUGCAUUAGCGAGCUCGUUACUGAGCCUCCGUCUAUUGGUGUGAUAAUUAUCUACGCCGUUGGAUGGGGUGCUUUAGACUCGCUUCUAACCGUCCGCUCGCGGACAAUACCUUGACAAUUUGACCUCAAAUCAGGUAGGACUACCCGCUGAACUUAA
rnacentral:misc_RNA from 1 species